CCUACGGGAGGCUGCAGUGAGGAAUAUUGGUCAAUGGACGAGAGUCUGAACCAGCCAAGUAGCGUGAAGGAUGACUGCCCUAUGGGUUGUAAACUUCUUUUAUAUGGGAAUAAAAUGUUCCACGUGUGGGAUUUUGUAUGUACCAUAUGAAUAAGGAUCGGCUCACUCCGUGCCAGCAGCCGCGGUAAUACGGAGGAUCCGAGCGUUAUCCGGAUUUAUUGGGUUUAAAGGGAGCGUAGGUGGAUUGUUAAGUCAGUUGUGAAAGUUUGCGGCUCAACCGUAAAAUUGCAGUUGAAACUGGCAGUCGUGAGUACAGUAGAGGUGGGCGGAAUGCGUGGUGUAGCGGUGAAAUGCUUAGAUAUCACGAAGAACUCCGAUUGCGAAGGCAGCUCACUGGACUGCAACUGACACUGAGGCUCGAAAGUGUGGGUAUCAAACAGGAUUAGAUACCCCGGUAGUC
rnacentral:rRNA from 1 species